rnacentral:rRNA from 1 species
GACGAACGCUGGCGGCGUGCUUAACACAUGCAAGUCGAACGGAAAGGCCCUGCUUUUGUGGGGUGCUCGAGUGGCGAACGGGUGAGUAACACGUGAGUAACCUGCACUUGACUUUGGGAUAACUUCAGGAAACUGGGGCUCAUACCGGCUAGGAGCUCCUGCUGCAUGGUGGGGGUUGGAAAGUUUCGGCGGUUGGGGAUGGACUCGCGGCUUAUCAGCUUGUUGGUGGGGUAGUGGAUUACCAAGGCUUUGACGGGUAGCCGGCCUGAGAGGGUGACCGGCCACAUUGGGACUGAGAUACGGCCCAGACUCCUACGGGAGGCAGCAGUGGGGAAUAUUGCACAAUGGGCGGAAGCCUGAUGCAGCAACGCCGCGUGCGGGAUGACGGCCUUCGGGUUGUAAACCGCUUUCGCCUGUGACGAAGCGUGAGUGACGGUAAUGGGUAAAGAAGCACCGGCUAACUACGUG